GAGGGUAUAGCUAAGUGGUAGAUUGCAUGCUUAGCAUGCACGAAGUCCUGGGUUCAAUUCCUUGUACCGCCA
rnacentral:tRNA from 1 species